GGAAGUGAGGACAAUGUGUCUGUGAGACUUGGUACCACAUUGAUUUCAAGGUUUGGUUUGAUUUGGUUGCUGUGGUAGGCUAGGUGUGUGUCCAUUUCCUCACUUUGCUCCAAGCGUCUCUUUUACAAAGCUGUGCACUUGGUGGGAGGGGAUGACAUUUUUGCUGAGAGGAAGACCAUUCUUUAGUCAAGGGUAUGUAAGCAGCUGUGCUCUCUGCAGGAACCUCAAACAGGCCUCAAGAAAUAAUACAUGCAAAGGAAGCCCGGAUGCUCUGUAACUGUGUUCAGCAGCCUCUCC
rnacentral:snRNA from 1 species